rnacentral:siRNA from 1 species
CGGGUCGCCGCGUGCCGGCCGG